rnacentral:rRNA from 1 species
AUACGGAGGGUGCGAGCGUUAAUCGGAAUUACUGGGCGUAAAGGGUGCGUAGGCGGCUUGAUAAGUCGGAUGUGAAAUCCCCGGGCUUAACCUGGGAAUUGCAUUCGAUACUGUCAGGCUAGAGUAUGUCAGAGGUUGGCGGAAUUCCUGGUGUAGCGGUGAAAUGCGUAGAUAUCAGGAGGAACACCAGUGGCGAAGGCGGCUAACUGGGACAAUACUGACGCUGAGGCACGAAAGCGUGGGGAGCAAACAGGAUUAGAAACCCUAGUAGUCC